AAAUUUUGGAAUUGCAUAAAAAUUGAGAAUUUUGUUUCAAAUUUUUAAAUCAAUACACUUGAACAUAAUACAACACCACCUAACUAAAAAUUAAAAAUAAAAAAUUGGACAAUCACUACCUACAAAAAUUAUAUACAAAAAUGCCUCCAUACAAAAAUUUAAUCACCUCUUCCACAAAUAAUAUACAAAAUAAUAAUAAUAAUAAUAAUAAUAAUAAAAAUAGAAAUUAAUCAAUCACUACCUAUAAAAAAUUGAGUAGACAAUCCAAAUUGCACCAUGUAAUUUGCAAAUUGCAUCAUUCCUACCCCUCGGCCACCGCAGUUGAACCGGAUCCAUCAAUUCAAUUGCAACAGAAUAGAUCCAUUUGCUUAACCAUGCUUGCAACCAAUUACCCGAGUAGCUUUCUUGUUAGUUCUCCUUAUUAUUUUUUCUUACAAGCGAUUCUCAAAACUAUAGUCUGAUAAACAGGAUAUGAUAUAGAUGCGACAAUCAGACCUGUACAGUCCCUAUAUCUUGAGAACCAUGAAGAACGAACCCAAUUGUGAAGUUAGAAAUAAAUAUAAAAGGAAUUUUAGAAGUUAAAUGCACAAGUAACAUAAGCCAACAUCAACCUGGAAUUAUUGUUUGCUAAACGAACCCUAAAAUUUUUAUUUUUAUUUUUUUAUGCAGUAACGCAAAAGGCCAUGAGUAAAUGCUCACGAGAAAAGAGAAUGAAAAAAUGGCACAAAGGAAAAUAUAUUGCUCAUUGGUACACCAAAAAGAAGAGAAAGUUGGACAUUACAAACAUGACCAUCAGAAAAAAAUGAUUGGACAAUAAAUGAUUGGAAUUCAUAAUAAUUCUUGAACAUUUGAAAACAUUAAGCAAAACAGAGACUAAGACAAUGUAAACACUAUCAACAUUUUUGAAGAGCACAUCACAAUAACACAAAUUAAAUUACAUCACAUACAAUGAACAUGAAUGCCAAACAUGAUCAUCAAAAGCUACAAUUUUACAAGCAACUGCUAUAGGUAAAAGAAGAAGAAAGAAGCACUAGAAAAGGGAAAAUAGAAGAAUGUUUCAUCAAAAUAGAACUGACUAUUAUUGAGACUACUACUUCCUUUUCCAUCUAAGAUAAGCCAUCAAAAGAGUCACUCAUGCAAACCAGGAACAAUAAGAUAGAACAAGGGUAAGGUUCCAAUAUAUUCCAUCAAGAGGAAAGUUAACAUGGAGCAGUAGAUAGUUUCCCUGUGUGCCAGCACUUUUAAAUCCCUAACAUUUACUCUCUCUAAUAACAUUUACUCUCUCUAACAGAGACAUAUUUGAGUUCCUAAAACAAUCUUCUCUAAAUCAUUAAUAUAGUAAUUGACAAGUCAUAUGAUCGCUCCUACAACCAUGAAAAGUCAUAUGAUCGCUCCUUUCUCCAUGGGGAAACUAUUAUUAAGUACAUAUCAGAAGAAUGAAGGGUUUUACAAAACAGAGAAAUAGUAGUCCAAUGAUAAGCCAAAACAAGAUGUGAUACUUUGUGAUAUGUGUUGCAUAUAAAGUCCCAAAGUUACUGGUAUGAUCUCUAAGUAUGGUCUCAGAGGGAUAAUCCUAGUCUUUAGUGAAGAAGGUCCCCCCCCUCAAACUUCCAAUUCAAAUAUUAACUCUAGAAAGCCUAUGAUAAAAGUAUGAGUUUAAUGUUAGAAGCACAAGCCAUUCCACAAUACUCAAGCUCAAGCCUUCAACCUUCAUACUACGGAUGAAACACCAAAACCAACAUUAAAAUUAAAAUUUUAAUGAAAUCAUAUCUGGUUAGCUACACAACCAGCAAUCCGAUCGAUAUAGAUAAUAUUUUAUUUUGUAGUAACCAUAGCUAAAAAGCCAACACAGUCAGGUAAUUUGCCAACUCCUAGGCUAGAAUUCCUCGCUCAAAAUUUCCCGAACGGUGCCCCCGAUUUAUCAUCCGUUCAUCCUCAACACAAUUACAAAUUUGGGAUUUCAUGUCCAAAUAAAUAGUGCUCUUUCACAGCCAAUUCUAAGAAAUGCACAAAACAAAAACAGUAGUAAAAGCAUAUUUCCAAAGCUAACUCAAUUACAACAAAUAAAUUAUCGAUUAAUUGACAAAUCUUGUGAAAAAUUAGGAGCUAGAAAAAGAAAAUUUAAGAACCCAAAAACUUGCCCUUUUAAAUGGGAUUCACAGAAUGAAUAAGAAAAUUAAUUUUCAGAUAGAACUUGAGUGCGGUUUAGGAAUCAGAAUCAAGGGGCUUCACCUUCUUCUUCUUCUGUCGUCGAAUCAUUGGUGGAAAUAUAGACUCUAAGGACUGUUGUCAGCUGUCGCGUCUCGCGAAGUUCAAGGGCUCGAAGGUACUGCGUGACCUGCGUCUAGGGCUCGAACGUAGGAGGCCGGUGGUCAGUGGUAGAAGGCGGCGAGAUAGAGAGGAGAGACGAGCGGCGCUGAUCACGUGGGAACAAAACUCGUGGUUUGAGUAUUACCUUUCCCUAUUUUACUCUUAGUCUCAUCCAUUAAUGGCCAAAAAGAAAAGAUUUUUGCAACGUUUUAUAAAUGUUGCCAAAGACCGAUUUUUGGCAACGUUUAUAAAUGUUGCGAAAGAUAAAAUACAACUUUUUUGCAACAUUUAUAAAACGUUGCAAAAGACAGCUUUUGGCAAUG
rnacentral:lncRNA from 1 species